GCGCCCGGGAGCGUGAGCAGCGUGGAUGGCAUGGCGGGCAGCGGAGGCCCCGGGCGGCGGAACCCGGCCUGCCCUCGGCCUCAUCCAGGUGCGCAUCCCGUGGUCUGUCCCCCCGAGGGUGCGGGGCGAGGCUCCCUGCUGGCGGCGGCGGAACCCGGCCUGCCCUCGGCCUCAUCCAGGUGCAACAACUGUCUCUCUUGAAGGUACUUGAAUAACUUUUCUGAAAACUUGUCAUGGAAAGUGACUGAACAAGUUACCAGGACCACAGUUGCCAGUAACAAGCAUGUAGGUGGCGGGAGAUGAAUAUCCAACUUGAGUAUCUUCGGUUUGAAAACACGUUGUUUUGGGUGCAGCACAUUUUGGAAUGUAAAAUGAAGAAUUGGUCAAGAAACCGUGAACAGAGAAGCAAAUGAUGAAAAUUAGUUAAACAAGUUAUAUAGAAAUAAACAAUUCUAAGUGC